rnacentral:rRNA from 1 species
GUGUCAGCCGCCGCGGUAAUACGUAGGUGGCAAGCGUUGUUCGGAUUUACUGGGCGUAAAGGAUGCGUAGGCGGUUAUUUAAGUCAGAUGUGAAAUCCCCGGGCUUAACUUGGGGACUGCAUUUCAAACUGGAUGUCUGGAGUGCAGGAGAGGAAAGCAGAAUUCCUAGUGUAGCGGUGAAAUGCGUAGAGAUUAGGAGGAAUACCAGUGGCGAAGGCGGCCUUCUGGGCU